rnacentral:rRNA from 1 species
UAUGUGAUCGUCUCUCGCAUAUCAAUAAGCGGAGGAAAAGAAACUAACAAGGAUUCCCCUAGUAACGGCGAGUGAAGCGGGAAGAGCUCAAAUUUGAAAUCUUAAAGGGUUUCCCUUUACGAAUUGUAGUUUAAAGAAGUGUUUUCUGUUGAGGUUUUGGUAAAAGUUCUUUGGAAGUAGGACAUCAUAGAGGGUGAGAAUCCCGUAUUUGACCUUUACUUUCAACUUUGUGAUACACUUUCAAAGAGUCGGAUUGUUUGGGAAUGCAGUCCAAAAUGGGUGGUAAAUUUCAUCUAAAGCUAAAUAUUGGCGAGAGACCGAUAGCGAACAAGUACCGUGAGGGAAAGAUGAAAAGAACUUUGAAAAGAGAGUUAAACAGUACGUGAAAUUGUCAAAAGGGAAGCGUUUGACACCAGUGUUGUUUUUCUGAAAAUCAAUUAAAGAACUGUUUAUGCUAAGUUGUUUAGACUUUAUCAGCUAUCUGUUUAGUUUUGAGCUUUUCUUUAAUGCACUUUUCAGUUAACAAGUCAACAUCAAUUUCUUUUGCUGUAAAAAAGCUUGAGGAAGGUGGCUUGAGAUUCGUCUUAAGUGUUUAUAGCCUCUUGCCUAUGCAGUCGGAGAGAUUGAGGUCUGCAGCGUAGAUCCUUCGGGGCUAAAUGCAUUUGUGCUAAGUUAUAGCAUUUUAUAGACAACUUGUUGACUAUGAUUUGUCUUGUAGCUUACUCGCUUAUGUUAUUUUACCUACGCUUAGGAUGUUGAGUAGCGACAUACGCAC